AGGAUUAACGCUGGCGGCGUGCCUAACACAUGCAAGUCGAACGAGGGGGGCAACCCCCGAGUGGCAGACGGGUGAGUAACGCGUGGUCAACCUACCCUAGAGUGGGGAAUAACUAGCCGAAAGGUUAGCUAAUACCGCAUGAUACGUUUUGGGACAUCCCAGGACGUUGAAAGGAGCAAUCCGCUCGAGGACGGGACCGCGUCCGAUUAGCUAGUUGGUGAGGUAACGGCCCACCAAGGCUCCGAUCGGUAGCUGGUUUGAGAGAGCGACCAGCCACACUGGGACUGAGAAACGGCCCAGACUCCUACGGGAGGCAGCAGUGAGGAAUUUUCCGCAAUGGGCGAAAGCCUGACGGAGCGACGCCGCGUGUGGGAAGAAGGCCUUCGGGUCGUAAACCACUGUCGAAGGGGACUAUACUGAAGGUACCCUUGGAGGAAGCCCCGGCUAACUACGCGCCAGCAGCCGC
rnacentral:rRNA from 1 species